rnacentral:lncRNA from 1 species
UCCCAAAACCCCCCAGCGGAAAAAUGGCCAAAAAACGGGUGGGCUAUAGCCUUGGUGGGGGGCGCGGGUGAAGUUCGUCCGCCGGACUCGGAAUGGGGCGAGACUUUGCGAGGGGCCUCGGGGUGCCCGCGGGAAGUCGCGGGCACAGCCGCGCCCAAAAAUAAGACCCGAAGGUCGUGGUGCCAAAACCCCCAGCGGAAAAAUGGCCAAAAAACGGGUGGGCUAUAGCCUUGGUGGGGGGCGCGGGCGAAGUUCGUCCGCCAGACUCGGAAUGGGGCGAGACUUUGCGAGGGGCCUCGGGGUGCCAUCGGGAAGUCGCGGGCACAGCCGCGUCCAAAAAUAAGCGCCCGAAGGUCGUGGUGCCAAAACCCCCCAGCGGAAAAAUGGCCAAAAAACGGGUGGGCUAUAGCCUUGGUGGGGGGCGCGGGCGAAGUUCGUCCGCCGGACUCGGAAUGGGGCGAGACUUUGCGAGGGGCCUCGGGGUGCCAAAAAUAAGCCGCGGGCAAAGCCGCUUCCAAAAAUAAGUGCCCGAAGGUCGUGGUGCCAAAACCCCCCAGCGGAAAAAUGGCCAAAAAACGGGUGGGCUAUAGCCUUGGUGGGGGGCGCGGGCGAAGUUCGUCCGCCGGACUCGGAAUGGGGCGAGACUUUGCGAGGGGCCUCGGGGUGCCAGCGGGAAGUCGCAGGCACAGCCGCGUCCAAAAAUAAGCGCCCGAAGGUCGUGGUGCCAAAACCCCCUAGCGGAAAAAUGGCCAAAAAACGGGUGGGCUAUAGCCUUGGUGGGGGGCGCGGGCGAAGUUCGUCCGCCGGACUCGGAAUGGGGCGAGAAUUUGCGAGGGGCCUCGGGGUGCCAAAAAUAAGCCGCGGGCAAGGCCGCGCCCCAAAAGAAGCGCCCGAAGGUCGUGGUGCCAAAACCCCCCAGCGGAAAAAUGGCCAAAAAACGGGUGGGCUAUAGCCUUGGUGGGGGCCGCGGGCGAAGUUCGUCCGCCGGACUCGGAAUGGGGCGAGACUUUGCGAGGGGCCUCGGGGUGCCCGCGGGAAGUCGCGGCCACAGCCGCGCCCAAAAAUAAGACCCGAAGGUCGUGGUGCCAAAACCCCCCAGCGGAAAAAUGGCCAAAAAACGGGUGGGCUAUAGCCUUGGUGGGGGGCGCGGGCGAAGUUCGUCCGCCGGACUCAGAAUGGGGCGAGACUUUGCGAGGGGCCUCGGGGCGCCAAAAAUAAGCCGCGGGCAAAGCCGCGCCCAAAAAUAAGCGCCCGAAGGUCGUGGUGCCAAAACCCCCCAGCGGAAAAAUGGCCAAAAAACGGGUGGGCUAUAGCCUUGGUGGGGGGCGCGGGCGAAGUUCGUCCGCCGGACUCGGAAUGGGGCGAGACUUUGCGAGGGGCAUCGGGGCACCAAAAAUAAGCCGCGGGCAAAGCCGCGCCCAAAAAUAAGCGCCCGAAGGUCGUGGUGCCAAAACCCCCCAGCGGAAAAAUGGCCAAAAAACGGGUGGGCUAUACCCUUGGUGGGGGGCGCGGGCGAAGUUCGUCCGCCGGACUCGGAAUGGGGUGAGACUUUGCGCGGGGCCUUGGGGCGCCAAAAAUAAGCCGCGGGCAAAGCUGCGCCCAAAAAUAAGCUCCCGAAGGUCGUGGUGCCAAAACCCCCCAGCGGAAAAAUGGCCAAAAAACGGGAGGGCUAUAGCCUUGGUGGGCGGCGCGGGCGAAGUUCGUCCGCCAGACUCGGAAUGGGGCGAGACUUUGCGAGGGGCCUCGGGGUGCCGGCGGGAAGGCGCGGGCACAGCCGCGUCCAAAAAUGAGCGCCCGAAGGUCGUGGUGCCAAAACCCCCCAGCGGAAAAAUGGCCAAAAAACGGGUGGGCUAUAGCCUUGGUGGUGGGCGCGGGCGAAGUUCGUCUGCCGGACUCGGAAUGGGGCGAGACUUUGCGCGGGGCCUCGGGGCGCCAAAAAUAAGCCGCGGGCAAAGCUGCGCCCAAAAAUAAGCUCCCGAAGGUCGUGGUGCCAAAACCCCCCAGCGGAAAAAUGGCCAAAAAACGGGUGGGCUAUAGCCUUGGUGGGGGGCGCGGGCGAAGUUCGUCCGCCAGACUCGGAAUGGGGCGAGACUUUGCGAGGGGCCUCGGGGCACCAAAAAUAAGCCGCGGGCAAAGCCGCGCCCAAAAAUAAGCGCCCGAAGGUCGUGGUGCCAAAACCCCCCAGCGGAAAAAUGGCCAAAAAACGGGUGGGCUAUAGCCUUGGUGGGGGGCGCGGGGGAAGUUCGUCCGCCGGACUCGGAAUGGGGCGAGACUUUGCGCGGGGCCUCGGGGCGCCAAAAAUAAGCCGCGGGCAAAGCUGCGCCCAAAAAUAAGCUCCCGAAGGUCGUGGUGCCAAAACCCCCCAGCGGAAAAAUGGCCAAAAAACGGGUGGGCUAUAGCCUUGGUGGGGGGCGCGGGCGAAGUUCGUCCGCCGGACUCGGAAUGGGACGAGACUUUGCGAGGGUCCUCGGGGCACCAAAAAUAAGCCGUGGGCAAAGCCGCGCCCAAAAAUAAGCGCCCGAAGGUCGUGGUGCCAAAACCCCCCAGCGGAAAAAUGGCCAAAAAACGGGUGGGCUAUAGCCUUGGUGGGGGGCGCGGGCGAAGUUCGUCCGCCGGACUCGGAAUGGGGCGAGACUUUGCGAGGGGCUCGGGGUGCCCGCGGGAAGUCGCGGGCACGGCCGCGCCCAAAAAUAAGCGCCCGAAGGUCGUGGUGCCAAAACCCCCCAGCGGAAAAAUGGCCAAAAAACGGGUGGGCUAUAGCCUUGGGGGGGGCGCGGGCGAAGUUCGUCUGCCAGACUCGGAAUGGGGCAAGACUUUGCGAGGGGCCUCGGGGUGCCAAAAAUAAGCCGCGGGCAAAGCCGCGCCCAAAAAUAAGCGCCCGAAGGUCGUGGUGCCAAAACCCCCCAGCGGAAAAAUGGCCAAAAAACGGGUGGGCUAUAGCCUUGGUGGGGGGCGCGGGCGAAGUUCGUCCGCCGGACUCGAAAUGGGGCGAGACUUUGCGAGGGGCAUCGGGGCACCAAAAAUAAGCCGCGGGCAAAGCCGCGCCCAAAAAUAAGCGCCCGAAGGUCGUGGUGCCAAAACCCCCCAGCGGAAAAAUGGCCAAAAAACGGGUGGGCUAUACCCUUGGUGGGGGGCGCGGGCGAAGUUCGUCCGCCGGACUCGGAAUGGGGUGAGACUUUGCGCGGGGCCUUGGGGCGCCAAAAAUAAGCCGCGGGCAAAGCUGCGCCCAAAAAUAAGCUCCCGAAGGUCGUGGUGCCAAAACCCCCCAGCGGAAAAAUGGCCAAAAAACGGGAGGGCUAUAGCCUUGGUGGGCGGCGCGGGCGAAGUUCGUCCGCCAGACUCGGAAUGGGGCGAGACUUUGCGAGGGGCCUCGGGGUGCCGGCGGGAAGGCGCGGGCACAGCCGUGUCCAAAAAUGAGCGCCCGAAGGUCGUGGUGCCAAAACCCCCCAGCGGAAAAAUGGCCAAAAAACGGGUGGGCUAUAGCCUUGGUGGUGGGCGCGGGCGAAGUUCGUCUGCCGGACUCGGAAUGGGGCGAGACUUUGCGCGGGGCCUCGGGGCGCCAAAAAUAAGCCGCGGGCAAAGCUGCGCCCAAAAAUAAGCUCCCGAAGGUUGUGGUGCCAAAACCCCCCAGCGGAAAAAUGGCCAAAAAACGGGUGGGCUAUAGCCUUGGUGGGGGGCGCGGGCGAAGUUCGUCCGCCGGACUCGGAAUGGGGCGAGACUUUGCGAGGGGCCUCGGGGUGCCAAAAAUAAGCCGCGGGCAAAGCCGCGCCCAAAAAUAAGCGCCCGAAGGUCGUGGUGCCAAAACCCCCCAGCGGAAAAAUGGCCAAAAAACGGGUGGGCUAUAGCCUUGGUGGGGGGCGCGGGCGAAGUUCGUCCGCCGGACUCGGAAUGGGACGAGACUUUGCGCAGGGCCUCGGGGCGCCAACAAUAAGCAGCGGACAAAGCCGCGCCCAAAAAUAAGCACCCGAAGGUCGUGGUGCCAAAACCCCCCAGCGGAAAAAUGGCCAAAAAACGGGUGGGCUAUAGCCUUGGUGGGGGGCGCGGGCGAAGUUCGUCCGCCGGGCUCGGAAUGGGGCGAGACUUUGCGAGGGGACUCGGGGUGCCAAAAAUAAGCUGCGGGGAAAGCCGCGCCCAAAAAUAAGCGCCCAAAGGUCGUGGUGCCAAAACCCCCCAGCGGAAAAAUGGCCAAAAAACGGGUGGGCUAUAGCCUUGGUGGGGGGCGCGGGCGAAGUUCGUCCGCCGGGCUCGGAAUGGGGCGAGACUUUGCGAGGGGCCUCGGGGCGCCAAAGAUAAGUCGCGGGCACAGCCGCGCCCAAAAAUAAGCUCCCGAAGGUCGUGGUGCCAAAACCCCCCAGCGGAAAAAUGGCCAAAAAACGGGUGGGCUAUAGCCUUGGUGGGGGGCGCGGGCGAAGUUCGUCCGCCGGACUCGGAAUGGGGCGAGACUUUGCGCGGGGCCUCGGGGCGCCAACAAUAAGCCGCGGGCAAAGCCGCGCCCAAAAAUAAGCUCCCGAAGGUCGUGGUGCCAAAACCCCCCAGCGGAAAAAUGGCCAAAAAACGGGUGGGCUAUAGCCUUGGUGGGGGGCGCGGGCGAAGUUCGUCCGCCGGACUCGGAAUGGGGCGAGACUUUGCGAGGGGCCUCGGGGUGCCAAAAAUAAGCUGCGGGGAAAGCCGCGCCCAAAAAUAAGCGCCCAAAGGUCGUGGUGCCAAAACCCCCCAGC